rnacentral:lncRNA from 1 species
GCAACCUUUACAAUGUACAUUCCAAAAACUAGGAAGAAUAUGAUUCGAUUGAAAACAAUAACCAUAGCCAUUCAACUGGACCAUCCAACUUAAAGUCUAAUUUAGAUUGCAAUAUAAACAAGAUAAUUAUAAUAUCAGUCACUUAAUCGAUUAUAUAGGCUAGUUAUAUUGAAGGAAUACAAAUUCAAUGAUCUCUUCCAUU